AAGCUGCUAACCACAGCAUUUGAAGCGAGUCUUGAGUGUAUUACAGUAAUGUAAUGGCUAAGCGUAGACAGCAAGGUUGCAGGGACAGCAAUUGAGCGCCGAAAUACCAUAAAUCGGAGUGCCGACUCUGUGGUCUGAGAGGAAGGCAACAUGUGGGUUUAUCGUUAAGGUGAGAUUUCACACAGCUCCGCGGCGUUG
rnacentral:ncRNA from 1 species